rnacentral:rRNA from 1 species
UACGUAGGGGGCAAGCGUUGUCCGGAUUUAUUGGGCGUAAAGAGCGUGUAGGCGGCUGGGUAGGUCCGUUGUGAAAACUCGAGGCUCAACCUCGAGACGCCGAUGGAAACCCUCCAGCUAGAGUCCGGAAGAGGAGAGUGGAAUACUUGGUGUAGCAGUGAAAUGCGUAGAUAUCAAGUGGAACACCAGUGGCGAAGGCGAGUCUCUGGACAUUUCCUGACGCUGAGGCACGAAAGCCAGGGGAGCAAACGGG